rnacentral:snoRNA from 1 species
AUCUCCGUGAUGAGAAUCUUAUCACAGACCUGUACCAAGAUCCAUGAGGAUAAGACACUCUGAGGGGGA